GACGAACGCUGGCGGCGUGCCUAAUACAUGCAAGUCGAACGCAGUGGGGACGGGUGAGUAACAAGUGGGUAACCUCCCAUCAGAGGGGAUAACACUUGGAAACAGGUGCUAAACCGCUACUGAUGGAUGGACCCGCGGUGCAUUAGCGAGUUGGUGUGGUAACGGCUCACCAAGGCCACGAUGCAUCGCCGACCUGAGAGGGUGACCGGCCACACGGGAACUGAGACACGGCCCAGACUCCUACGGGAGGCAGCAGUAGGGAAUCUUCGACAAUGGGCGAAAGUCUGACCGGGCAACGCCGGGUGAGUGAAGAAGGUUUUCGGAUCGUAAAACGCUGUUGUUGGAGAAGCGGUAUCUAACCAGAAAGCCACGGCUAACUACGUGCCAGCAGCCGCGGUAAUUC
rnacentral:rRNA from 1 species